rnacentral:lncRNA from 1 species
CCAUAAUGAUUUUUCUUGAAUAGUGCAUUUAUGGACAUGUCUCUAAAGGUGCAACGAUGCCUCGAGUCUAGCCAUGCUCUUAAUGAUUGCCAAUCGAUGGUUCUCCGACUGACAUACCCUACGAAACCCGCCAACUCAGUGACAUAGGAUUCGAAAUUAACGAGCAUGCUAUACUGACCAAAAAAUCAAGGCUCAACAUGCAUCUUCAAAAGUUGCAUCUUGGUCCAUACCCCCU